rnacentral:misc_RNA from 1 species
UUGAAUGAACUUAGAGUCGGUUGUCGCUGGCUGUCUUUUGCAGCAUGUGCACGCCUUCUCUUUUCAUCCACACACACCCCUGUGCACUUGUGAGACUGGAGGCCGUAAAAAAGCCUUCAGUCUGCUAAAUUCAUAUACAAGCUCAUUUAAUUGAACUGAAUGUACUUGAUGUAACGCAUCAUUGAAC